UCUUUACAGAAAUAUUUGAGUUUGUUAGAUGAGGUAUAUUCACAGAAAUUUUCUGUUUGGUUGGGGUGACAAGGAAAUAAAAUAACUUUCUAUAAUUAAACACCUAUUAGUGAGUUAAAGAUCCACAAAUUGUGAUUAAAAGAAUAAGU
rnacentral:rRNA from 1 species